rnacentral:lncRNA from 1 species
UUUUUCUUAGUAUAUUUCUAAUUUGUUUUUGUCUUUUAUUCCAUGUUUCUCUCAUGAUUCAUGUUCCUCAAUUCUAAUUUUUGUCUGCGGUAAGGUAAGGGUUACGAUUUAUAAUGUUUGUUUUUAGUUUGUAAGAGCUUGUUGUAUUUAGCUAAUGUGUAAAAUAAUAGUUGUAAUUUUUGUUUUGUAAGUAGGAUAUGGUACUAGUAGUUUGUCAAUAAAAAAAUAUGAAUAACUUAAAAGGUAGUAUUCUACUUAAAAGUUGUUCUAUUCUUGAAAUAUAAUUGUUUGCUCUUUAAAUAUACUUGUGUGAUGAAUUUUGUUAUAAUGAAUAGGGAGAGUGAGAAUGUGUUAGAGGUUUAAAUGAGAAUGAAUUAUGUUAUAUUGACAUGCUUAUAAAUGAGAGUGAAUUUUGUAUGUCUUUUAAGAUUUAUAUUUGAUUUGGAUAUUUAAUGAACAUAAGUCUUGAAGGGUCUAUCAAAUGUAUCUGUUAUCUUUAGAUUAGUGAAUGUUAUCUAGUGUUUUAGUGAUUUUAUUUUUUCAUCUGAUCUUAAAUGUUAUUUGGUUGUUGUCUCGUUAUAGUUCUCUUUGUUGUCUUGUCAUAUUACCUUAAAUGGUUUCGAUCUUGUUUAUAAUAU